rfam:Propionibacterium freudenreichii subsp. shermanii CIRM-BIA1, complete genome
CGCUGACUGCGGUAUGCGGCUUCAGCCCGAGCUGAACCCCCUGGCUCCACUUCCCCGGUGCCAGGUGGUGACAUGACUCGGGUUGGGACCGGAUGCCGCAGUCUUUGCUUA